rnacentral:tRNA from 1 species
GGGUCGUUAGCAGAGCAGAUAUGAAACCGUCUUUUAAGCGGACUUAUCCAAGUUCAACCCCUGAACGACCCA